AAUCAUAUGUCCAUAUCAUAGCAUAAUGAAUGUGCAGAAAUGUAUAUUCAUCUACAGACAGGUGGCAUGCAACAACAAACCAUUGGACUGAGAAAAGAGAUGCAAGUCAACACAGCAAAUGAACAGGAGCCAUGAUGUUGAUAAACAUAACAGGAACCUUCAAUGUUUCAGAAAAGAGAAUAGUGCAUGAUCAGAAACACAAUACUUCUUGAUCCAUCAUAAGUUGAUCUUCCUCAAGUGUCUCGCUGAGAUUGAUCAACUUUUAGUCAUUCAUCUUUUGGUAAUGAUUCCGAUGUCAAUUUGAACUAUUAAAACACAGGGAUGAAAGACUGAAUGUUACAAGCAGACCAACUCAGCAGCUCUACUGAAGAUAGAAGGCAUAAAUAUGUGAGAUACAUAGGUGGUAGUGAUCAAAGACUGAAUGUUACAAGCAGACCAACGCAACAGCUCUACUAAAGAUAGAAUACACAAAUAUGUGAGAUACAUAGGUGGUACCUUGAACUGCUCGACAGACAAAAGUGAGGAAAGAAAUCUGUAAAGCCCAUUAACUUUGGCCCGGAAGCAUCAGAAUGCGUUAUGACAUGCUUGCUACCUCCUAUGAGGAAUGAUUGUACAAAAAAAUUCAGACUGAUUAACCAAAAAAAGUAGGUCAUUUGUUGGAGAGAGAGAGAGAGAGAGAGGACUGGUUCUUCUGUUCGAUGACUUUCAUUAUAAACUGAGCUAUGUCAGGCCACCUGGGGGAACUACAUAUUUG
rnacentral:lncRNA from 1 species